rnacentral:rRNA from 1 species
UGGGGAAUAUUGGGCAAUGGGGGAAACCCUGACCCAGCAACGCCGCGUGAAGGAAGAAGGCUUUCGGGUUGUAAACUUCUUUGACCAGGGAAGAAAAAAAUGACGGUACCUGGAAAACAAGCCACGGCUAACUACGUGCCAGCAGCCGCGGUAAUACGUAGGUGGCAAGCGUUAUCCGGAUUUACUGGGUGUAAAGGGCGUGUAGGCGGGCUUGCAAGUCAGAUGUGAAAUAUCGAGGCUUAACCUCGAGGGGUCAUUUGAAACUGCAAGUCUUGAGUGAUGGAGAGGCAGGCGGAAUUCCUAGUGUAGCGGUGAAAUGCGUAGAUAUUAGGAGGAACACCAGUGGCGAAGGCGGCCUGCUGGACAUUAACUGACGCUGAGGCGCGAAAGCGUGGGGAGCAAACAGGAUUAGAUACCCCCGUAGUCC